rnacentral:rRNA from 1 species
UACGUAGGGCGCGAGCGUUGUCCGGAUUUAUUGGGCGUAAAGAGCUCGUAGGUGGCUUGUCGCGUCGGUCGUGAAAACCUGCAGCUCAACUGCAGGUUUGCGGUCGAUAUGGGCAGGCUGGAGUUCGGUAGGGGAGACUGGAAUUUUUGGUGUAGCGGUGAAAUGCGCAGAUAUCAGGAGGAACACCGGUGGCGAAGGCGGGUCUCUGGGCCGAUACUGACGCUGAGGAGCGAAAGCGUGGGGAGCGAACAGG